rnacentral:snRNA from 1 species
GUGCUCACUUCGGCAGUACAUAUACUGAAAUUGGAGCGAUACAGAGAUUAGCAUGGCCCCUGUGCAAGGAUGACAUGCAAAUUCGUGAAGCGUUCCAUAUUAAA